UACGAAGGGGUCUAGCGUUGUUCGGAAUUACUGGGCGUAAAGCGCACGUAGGCGGAUCUUUAAGUCGGGGGUGAAAUCCCGGGGCUCAACCCCGGAACUGCCUUCGAUACUGGGUAUCUUGAGUUCGGAAGAGGUGAGUGGAAUUGCGAGUGUAGAGGUGAAAUUCGUAGAUAUUCGCAGGAACACCAGUGGCGAAGGCGGCUCACUGGUCCGAUACUGACGCUGAGGUGCGAAAGCGUGGGGAGCAAACAGG
rnacentral:rRNA from 1 species